rnacentral:rRNA from 1 species
GAUUAACGCUGGCGGCGUGCAUAACACAUGCAAGUCGAACGAUGAAACUUAGUAGACUUCUUCGGAAAGACACUAAGCGGCUUAGUGGCGAACGGGUGAGUAACGCGUGAGUAACCUGCCUUACACAAGGGGAUAGCCUUUGGAAACGAAGAAUAAUACCCUAUAAAACCAUAAAAGCACAUGCUAGAAUGGUCAAAGUGAUAGCGGUGUAAGAUGGACUUGCGUCUGAUUAGCUAGUUGGUGAGAUAAAAGCUCACCAAGGCAACGAUCAGUAGCCGGCUUGAGAGAGUGGACGGCCACAUUGGGACUGAGACACGGCCCAGACUCCUACGGGAGGCAGCAGUGGGGAAUGUUGCACAAUGGGGGAAACACUGAUGCAGCGACGCCGCGUGAUUUAGAAAGCCUUCGGGUUGUAAAAAUCUUUUGUAUAGGAAGAAAAUGACAGUACUAUACGAAUAAGGUCCGGCUAAUUACGUG